CUACGGGUGGCUGCAGUGGGGAAUAUUGGACAAUGGGCGAAAGCCUGAUCCAGCCAUGCCGCGUGUGUGAAGAAGGCCUUCGGGUUGUAAAGCACUUUCAGUGGGGAAGAAAGCCUUGGGGCUAAUACCCUCGAGGAAGGACAUCACCCACAGAAGAAGCACCGGCUAACUCCGUGCCAGCAGCCGCGGUAAUACGGAGGGUGCGAGCGUUAAUCGGAAUUACUGGGCGUAAAGCGCGCGUAGGCGGUCUGAUAAGCCGGUUGUGAAAGCCCCGGGCUCAACCUGGGAACGGCAUCCGGAACUGUCAGGCUAGAGUGCAGGAGAGGAAGGUAGAAUUCCCGGUGUAGCGGUGAAAUGCGUAGAGAUCGGGAGGAAUACCAGUGGUGAAGGCGGCCUUCUGGACUGACACUGACGCUGAGGUGCGAAAGCGUGGGUAGCAAACAGGAUUAGAUACCCUAGUAGUC
rnacentral:rRNA from 1 species